rnacentral:rRNA from 2 species
UUUUAUGGAGAGUUUGAUCCUGGCUCAGGAUGAACGCUGGCGGCGUGCCUAAUACAUGCAAGUCGAGCGAACGGACGAGAAGCUUGCUUCUCUGAUGUUAGCGGCGGACGGGUGAGUAACACGUGGAUAACCUACCUAUAAGACUGGGAUAACUUCGGGAAACCGGAGCUAAUACCGGAUAAUAUUUUGAACCGCAUGGUUCAAAAGUGAAAGACGGUCUUGCUGUCACUUAUAGAUGGAUCCGCGCUGCAUUAGCUAGUUGGUAAGGUAACGGCUUACCAAGGCAACGAUGCAUAGCCGACCUGAGAGG